GACGAACGCUGGCGGCAUGCCUAACACAUGCAAGUCGAACGAGACCUUCGGGUCUAGUGGCGCACGGGUGCGUAACGCGUGGGAACCUGCCCUUAGGUUCGGAAUAACUCCCCGAAAGGGGUGCUAAUACCGGAUAAUGUCUUCGGACCAAAGAUUUAUCGCCUUUGGAUGGGCCCGCGUUGGAUUAGCUAGUUGGUAGGGUAAAAGCCUACCAAGGCGACGAUCCAUAGCUGGUCUGAGAGGAUGAUCAGCCACACUGGGACUGAGACACGGCCCAGACUCCUACGGGAGGCAGCAGUGGGGAAUAUUGGACAAUGGGCGAAAGCCUGAUCCAGCAAUGCCGCGUGAGUGAUGAAGGCCCUAGGGUUGUAAAGCUCUUUUACCCGGGAUGAUAAUGACAGUACCGGGAGAAUAAGCUCCGGCUAACUCCGUG
rnacentral:rRNA from 1 species